CUUCACCUGGAGACCCUUCCCGAAGCCCUGUGGAAGGGAGUUGGCCGCAGGAGAACAACAUCAAUAAUAAAACCCUCCCAGAAGUGCCCGGCUGAAGGUGCGGGGGGUGGUGAAGGGCUACCGCCACUGACUGAAGCAGGAGACAUCGACAGGGAGGUGACAGCCGCUGGAAGCGCACAGCUCCUCUGUGCGCAUAGCCGGCUGCGCUGUGACGGGGCAUUUUUAAAGCUCCCGACAGUGAAAAUGCCCCCCGCAUGAGUAGAUGAGCGAUUAUUAGCCUCCAGCCCUUGCCUCCAGCCUUUGAUGCGUGGUUCUGGCCCGCGGUUACCCACGCGGGUUGGGAGCAAGCAGGCAGGAGAGAUGCGCACAGCAUGCGCGGAUUGCACGGUGCCCCGAGGAGCUCGGACGGCUCCAGGGGGACGGAGUUAGCUGUCGCGGCGUAACGGGGGUGGUGUCCGUCGGUCCCAUGCCCUGUGGGUCCUGCUCCAAGCAGCAUCACCCUAACAGAGCCAAGUAGAGACCCGAGUGUACGCCCCAGGACAAGAAAAAGCUCAGCACCAUCUUGUUGGGUCUGUGAACAUCCCCGCCGGCAUGGCUCUAAGGAGAAACCGAGCAGUCCCCAAAAAACGGCGAGCACGAAACGAGCCCCGACACGGACAGCUCUGCGGCCACCCCGUCCGAACCGGGUCCCCCUCCAGUGCCCAGGAGCGGGCAGAGGGAAGCGGAGAGGGGAAAGAAACCCAGCCGAGAAAGCAUGCUAAAUCGCUCAGGGUAGGAAGGUGGAAAAUUACGCUGGCUCCUAGCCGGCCUGUCCUCCUCUACGCAGCCAGGAGAGCAAUUUUCCUAAGAAGUUGAGCAAAACGAAAUCAGCCCCUUUUGGAUCUGCAGCCCCCGUCUCUCCGCGGCACGGCCAAUCUCUGGCUCCGAGGGCGCUCAGUGCUCCCCCGGCCGCCCCCGUCACCCUCGGCCUCGCGGAGCCUCCCGAAGCCCCCCGCUACUCCCCGAGCUUUGCUCGCGGGGCACCGCGCUCACCUCGUGCUGGCCGGCCCUGCCCCACCGCUAUUCAAACCCAGUGGGUAAAGCACAAUUUUCGGGGGGAAACUGAUUUUUUUUUUUUUUUUUUCCAGGGAGGGGGAAACGAAAUGUUUUGGUGGCAUUCGGCCCGUGACAGCCGGCGCAUCCCGGUGCCUCCCGGAGCCCCUCUGCACUUGGACCCCCACCGGCCCGGAGCUGCCCAAGGCGCAGGCGGCCAACGGCAGCGCUUCCAAAAAGUCGGGAUGAAAAAGUUGAAGGCUUAAUGUUUUCUGACAGAUACAAAUGAUACCCCAAGGCUUUCUUAAAACGCGGCGAAUGACGGGAGGAGAAAGGGUUUUCCUAUUCGGGUUUCUGCAGCUGGAAGCAAACGGGGUGGGGGGUUCUCCUCGGCCCUCCUGUCCCGAAAAUUAAACCAUCUCCUGGAAUAACUCCGUUUUUCCCAAGUGCCAUUCGGCACAGCCCCACUCUGGCUCUGCUCCGUGGCCUUCUCCGCAUCCCUCAGACCACGAGCACCGAGCCAUGCUCCGAGCAAAUCCGAAACCGCUGUCAGCAGCCGCUCGGGUUUAGUCCUGGUUGUCCGCAGCCUGAACCGAGUGGGAUCAGCAAUGCCACCGCCAGAGGAUGGACAGCUCGGGGUGCGCGGGCUGCUUCUCUCGGUGGGGAGGGGGAAGGAAGGGGGAAAGUGCCACAUAGUCCCACAAUUCCCUCUCCGAGCAGUGGGAACAUGCUUUUCUUAUUAAUUGAUGGAGGAAGGGGCACCGGCGCUUGCAAGGCAGCCUGCUCAUGUUACUCUGUGCAUCUCCAGGUCCGAAAUGUGUUUGGUUUGUGGACUAAAAAAGAUGCCUCUCGUGCAGGGCAGUCCAAGGCCCGCGCGAUCCGUUGGCAUUUUAUUGUGAUCGUUCUUCUGCAGAAAAAGGGGCUGCGUUUGGUACCACCGAUGCUGCGUUUCCUUGUGGGUUUCCCUCACCUUGUUUCGGGCGAGCAACCUCUUAAUUGCUGCAGCGUUUGGAUGGGGGAAACGCAUUUCCCCUAAACAGAACAUUUCCUGAAGGGCUGAAAUAUUCUAAUAACGCGCUUUAAUGUCCUCAGAACAGCCGUGAAUCUCUGCAGGGCCACGCGUUUCCUGCCUUAAAAAGCAAAAUCGGCGAAACAAUUCACCUUUGUGUGCACUCAGCACCCUCUCUUCUAUUUUCUUUUCUUUCCCUCCCUUCUUCCCCUCCUCCCCCCUUUUUCUUAUUUUUCCUCCCAUAGAUGCUCUGCGCUGCCCCGCGAUGAGGAGCGGGGACGACUUUCUUUCCAGUUUCAUUGUGGGAACGGCCGUAUCUUAACGGGCACAUCUCAGCGAGAGAUAGGAGAACACCACCGCCUUCCAGAGGGCUGCGCUAAUCAGCGCACGGGGCAAGAUAUAAAAGUUCAGGGCAAAUAAAACGAAUUAGUUUUAUUAGCACGUUUAGGAGGCGGUCUAACGAAGGAAUUCGGCUUUACUAGAGAAUGUUUUCUCCACCCCUUCUGUUAUUUAAAAGCAGCAUCUAUGCGGGCUGAUCGGGACGGGGGGGUGGGGGAGAAAUAACGCACCGCUCAACCCGCAGUGAUUUUCUCCGAGGAACGCGCCAUUCUCUCCACCCGGUAAGGAGCACAGAGCCCGGGAAAUACACGAUUUCACAAUGCAAUCUGCUCGAACAAUAAAACCAGUAGUAAAGGAGAGGCUCGGGGCCGAUCAGCGGCGGCUGUCGGGGGGAAAUCUCUGCCCCGCUCAGGGAUUCGUUCGGCUGAACCGCGUCCGGGGAACGGUGCCACCGCUCCGGCUCGGGAUGUCCAGGACUCGGCCCGUAUUUCAGGCACCAGAAGGAUUUUGGGGACGUUCUCCAAGCGAAGCAGCUCUCAGCAAUUAUUUGGACGUCGGGUUUUAGCUCAGAGGCGCAGGGAACGCAUCCCUGGGUCUGGGAGGCAGAAAUUACGUAUUUUAAGACUGUUAGGAAAUAAUCAAACGGCGUCUCGGUCCUCGCUAUCCGCACUGGGGUACCUCGCUAGGCACAUUUUUUUUUUUUUUGUUCAAUUCGUGUCUCGGCGUUUGUGUUCGCCUACAGCGAGGUCGGCAAAACUUAAGGAAUAAGGACGAAAUGACAGAAAACGCUCCUAGGGACGAUUUUUUACGCGACACCUGAAAAUUCUCCUAAGGGUACCGUCGGGGAGGAACUCCGCGCGUCCAUUCAACGGAGUUAACACGAGGGAAUAGAAGCCUUUUUCCACCGCUCCGAGAAUUUCGCCUCCGUUGGACAGAGCGGAGUUGCGGGACAUCGCUGGAGCGUGGGGCUUCCUAAAGUUGCUAUUUGUUUCAGUUGGAGUAUGGCAGAAAUGGCAGCGCCCCGAAGGCAAGAGAUGAGACCCACAGAGCUGAGCACAUCCCCAGUCCGACAGCAGUGACCCUCCUGGCAGGGCAGGGAACUGGCAGCUGCUUUGGUCUGUGACAAAAGGAGCAUCAUGCUGGAAGCACGUAGUGCUCGAUAAGAUAUUCCUUCUGUAGACACAGAAAGGAAAUAACCUUGGAGGCCAGAGAUAUUCCUGGCAGCGGGACGUGGAGCUGUUUGCACUACUGAUGCUGUGCUCUUGUACUCUUACUAAAUGGAGCAGAGCAAUUCCCAUUGCUCUCAACCUGGAUUCCGUUGCCAGCGCGCAGUUCACUUGGAAAGCUCUGGUCUGAUCACACACAUUCAGCACAUGCUUUUAUAAGUGGUUUCCAGCACUCUCCAUAGAAAGAAGGGAAAGGGAUUAUGAUCCUGUGGAGACUUUGGAAAGAACUGAGCAUAACCUUGGUGUCCAGGCUGACAUUCAAGAUCUUCAAGGCUAUGAGCUCUGCUGCUCUUUUGCACUGCUCCAAGGCAGUGGACCAAACAAAGACAAUCAGAGGUGGCUGAACUUCUCGUUUCCAAAGGCAUCUCCCCACACAGGUCCAUCUUGUCAUCGGUACUUUGCUGAUUGCUCCCAGUGUGUGGAGAGCUCAUGCAUAAAAGCAACAUCUGUUUUUUUCUCCUUUUCUACCAUUUCAUUCCAUUCAAUGCAUUUUUUUUUUCUUCCUGAAAUGCUCCAAGACAGGAUUCCAAGCCUGACACGCUUGGAUUUUACUGGGUUCUUUGCACACGUCUCUGGCAACGGUCUGUAACCCUAAUUAUGAUGGUUAGCAGAAGUUCAGUACAACUGAACUCAGAGCUAAAGCCUCAGAGCUGCCUUUCCUACCUGAAACCAGGAUGUCAGGACUGCUCAAAUUGGGCAUGGCUGCUGAGGAACCCUGUUGGUGCUUCUCCAACGUCAGCCUGCUUCUCCAUGACCACCCCUUGGAAACCUGUUGAGCCACCAGGUCCACCAGACCCAGGCUGGGUUAAGUCAAAUGAAGCAUGAGACAAAACAGGGAGUUCCCUAUCAUUUUUCCCCAGGAGCCUUGGACACGUCCUGGGAGAAAGGUGAGAGCUUCCCUCUUGCAGAGUCAUGACAACAUGGUUCCUACCCCGUAGCAUUGGGUUCCAGAGCUGGAUUACUCAAACCUUCCCUUUUUUCAUAAUUUUCCAGUACACACUGCUGUCCUUGCAGGAAACAGGGCGGCAGUAGCUAUUGUAUCAGAGCUCACUAAAUCUUUCAGGAGUUCUGGGUGUUUGGGCUCAUGCCCCGAGGCGCAUUUCCAUCCCUGUUUCUGUUGCUGCUCUUUGGUUCUGCAGUAGCUCUGCCGAAUCCUUUUUCCAAUUUAGACUCCCGUUCCCAGGGGAAUUGCAUUGCGAUCCCCCCUUGCUUCCUUCUGGGAGUCUCUCUGUUUGAGCUUAGAACUUUGAAGGAAACAUGAGCAACAGCCAUAAAAUCUCCAUCUCCAUUGUCUCUGGAACGGCAGCGUGCAUGCAGCUGAUUGUGUAUCCAGGGCUCUGCGUCUCUGAAGCCUUGUUGCAAUGUGAUCUCUGUGCUGUCCCUUCCCGGAUGCUACGAUCAGCUCUGCCUUCCUUUGCAGGUUCAGCAGCUGAGGCUCUCGUGCCAGAGGACAGUCCAGGUUUUGAAGGUGUGGUUCUCAAGUUCACCAGAGCCUCAGGCCAGGCUGUGCUCAGAGCCUUGUUCCCUUUCCCACUGGACCAUCUGAUUACAAAUAACCGUGACUGGAUGUUGGAUGUCGAAAUCCAUAAUCCCCUGCAAAUUGUUUAAAGUCUUGUACAUUGAAAUGCAGACCAUUAUCAGACAGACCAAUUUAUGGGAUUCCAUGUCUGGCAAAUGCAAAUGCAAUGUAUCCUAUGACUUGUUUCGAUGUCAGAUUCUUUGUAUUAUUGGAUAAUAUUAUAUAGUUCCAGGCUCAUGUGAAUAAUAACCCCAAUUAAUAUGAUCUUUGCCAAAACAUAUAAAUAAGUCCAUUUUAGACAGCUCAAGUAUUUCCUUGUCAAGUUAUUUUAUUUUUAAGUCCCCCUUUUUACUUUACGAGUUACUUUUCUCUGCAUUAAUCCAUGAGCAGCACACUGCAUCACAGUCUCUCCUUUUAUUUUACUCUAAAUGGCAAAUGGGGAAUAGCACUUCCAUGCCCAAAAAUCCUUGCUGACGCUUGUGCUGGAGGACUUGGAUCAGACUUCGCACAGUUGUACAGUGCUGUGAGAGAGAUCUUCAAAUCUUUUUCCCUUUUGCUGGGAUAAACUUUACCAUACCUGAUAUGUGCAGUCUGCACAAAGUGUUGUGGUGCAGGUUUCCCCAGGCAAGACCUACACAGCCAACAGAGGGUCAACUGCAGCAGAGAUGGACAAUGUCUUGUUGCUCCAUUCUUCCUGGGCUCAGUGCUGCAUUAACAGGGCCAUUGUGCUUUGGGUACCCAAGUGACAGGCUAUGGGCAGUGGGACGUGUUUUACAGUUGUCUAUAUUUUGCUUGGAGCAAACUCACAGGUCUCAAAGUCCCUCAUUUUUCAGUGGAGACAUGUUAAGAUACUUAAAAUGCUGUUUGCAGUCAUUCGGCUCUAUUCACAAGCACUGUAGAUCUUUGGGGCUUUGUUUGGCAGGGGAUUGUGCUAAGUAUAAGGAUUUAUUACCUGUGUUGCACAUGCAUGCUAUUCCUUAUUCUACCAGUAAAUAAUGAGGAUGGAAGAACUGCAAUUUAAAUGCUCACUGAAAUUUGGUUCACGGUUUCUCAUUGGAUGGCUGAUCUUGGAAGAACCACUCAUUCCUAUGCUUAGGCAGCUGAACAGGGGGCAAGAGAUGGGCAUUACCAGGCGUCUGUGUUUGAAGAGGAAGAGUGCACAAACAUUUCCAUGAACUUUACUCUCACCUGGAGAAAAACACAGCUAGAAGGCAAAAAUGAAAGAGGAAAAUGGAGUCAAAAAUACUGCAAGUGUAACCCAGAGUAGUGCUGUAACAUCAAGGUGACUCAGAGCAGCUCUGGUUCAACAUGGGAGAAGCUGAGUGUGCUGAAAUGUGUUGGGUGCCUGUAGGGUUGUGCACGGGGGAGAGGGCCCCGGUCUUACAGCUCAUGGAGAGGGCAGAGGUGAGGAGACUGAUGGAACUGUGGCUCUACAAGAAAAAGUCCCCACUGUGGGAAGGGAUUGCUUUCCUCAAUAUCAAAACCAGCCCAGUCCUCCAGGGCUUGGCUGUGACUUUUUCUUGCUGUGGACUCAAGUAAUGCUUAGCUCCAUUGCUGGCGGGGGAGGGUAUAUUUUCAAACAGCAUUAGUGGAAAUUGUGAAUCAGGGCUUUCUGAAAACCCUGGAUCUGACAGCAUGAAGGUCAGGCCGCUGCAUGAUUUCCGUGGAAGCGUUCUCUUUUUCUGCCUGGAAAUUUCAGAUCGCUGGAAUUAGGGAAUGUGACAUAUUUAUCCAGGACUUCCAGCAUCUGGUGCCUGGUGGGAACAGCAGCUCUGCCUGGCUGCUGCUGAUGCAGACUCCUUCCGUCCGCAAAGCACCGGGUUCACCUUUGCAGCCCCAGGAUUGCCCAAUGCCACAGAGCAACCGACUCCGUGGGAAUGGCCAAUGCUUUUAGUCCUGUAGCUCACCAUUCGCUGCCACUGCCCACAGUGGGCUUCAUUCCCAGGUAAAUUCUCAAAGAGAAAGGGUUUCCACUUUUGCCUGCAGGCAGUAGCUCAGUCUGGGGGAGCUAAGCUGAAUCAAGCAAUCAAGGAUGAGAAGAAUACCGGUUUUGGGAGUACCGGUGAUAAAUUUAUGCUGCACUUGGCAGAAGGCUGUGAUGCUGCAUCCAACCACAAAUUGGCUCGGUGGGUGCUGAGCCAUGGAGCUUCCUCAGCCCUUUGGCUAUGUCCUCAUGAGCCUAUUUCAGCUCUGUUCUGA
rnacentral:lncRNA from 1 species